GGUCUUAUGGCGCAAUUGGUUAGCGCGUCCGGCUGUUAUCCACCUUAAACUUCCUCUAAGGGCAUUUGGAAUUGGGUUUACAACUACCGGGAGGUUGAAAGUUCGAGUCUUUCUAGGACCG